rnacentral:rRNA from 1 species
GGGUUGUGAGGUUAAGCGACUAAGCGUACACGGUGGAUGCCCUGGCAGUCAGAGGCGAUGAAGGACGUGCUAAUCUGCGAUAAGCGUCGGUAAGGUGAUAUGAACCGUUAUAACCGGCGAUUUCCGAAUGGGGAAACCCAGUGUGAUUCGUCACACUAUCAUUAACUGAAUCCAUAGGUUAAUGAGGCGAACCGGGGGAACUGAAACAUCUAAGUACCCCGAGGAAAAGAAAUCAACCGAGAUUCCCCCAGUAGCGGCGAGCGAACGGGGAGCAGCCCAGAGCCUGAAUCAGUGUGUGUGUUAGUGGAAGCGUCUGGAAAGGCGUGCGAUACAGGGUGACAGCCCCGUACACAAAAAUGCACAUGCUGUGAGCUCGAUGAGUAGGGCGGGACACGUGGUAUCCUGUCUGAAUAUGGGGGGACCAUCCUCCAAGGCUAAAUACUCCUGACUGACCGAUAGUGAACCAGUACCGUGAGGGAAAGGCGAAAAGAACCCCGGCGAGGGGAGUGAAAAAGAACCUGAAACCGUGUACGUACAAGCAGUGGGAGCACAGAGCAAUCUGUGUGACUGCGUACCUUUUGUAUAAUGGGUCAGCGACUUAUAUUCUGUAGCAAGGUUAACCGAAUAGGGGAGCCGAAGGGAAACCGAGUCUUAACUGGGCGUUAAGUUGCAGGGUAUAGACCCGAAACCCGGUGAUCUAGCCAUGGGCAGGUUGAAGGUUGGGUAACACUAACUGGAGGACCGAACCGACUAAUGUUGAAAAAUUAGCGGAUGACUUGUGGCUGGGGGUGAAAGGCCAAUCAAACCGGGAGAUAGCUGGUUCUCCCCGAAAGCUAUUUAGGUAGCGCCUCGUGAAUUCAUCUCCGGGGGUAGAGCACUGUUUCGGCAAGGGGGUCAUCCCGACUUACCAACCCGAUGCAAACUGCGAAUACCGGAGAAUGUUAUCACGGGAGACACACGGCGGGUGCUAACGUCCGUCGUGAAGAGGGAAACAACCCAGACCGCCAGCUAAGGUCCCAAAGUCAUGGUUAAGUGGGAAACGAUGUGGGAAGGCCCAGACAGCCAGGAUGUUGGCUUAGAAGCAGCCAUCAUUUAAAGAAAGCGUAAUAGCUCACUGGUCGAGUCGGCCUGCGCGGAAGAUGUAACGGGGCUAAACCAUGCACCGAAGCUGCGGCAGCGACGCUUAUGCGUUGUUGGGUAGGGGAGCGUUCUGUAAGCCUGCGAAGGUGUGCUGUGAGGCAUGCUGGAGGUAUCAGAAGUGCGAAUGCUGACAUAAGUAACGAUAAAGCGGGUGAAAAGCCCGCUCGCCGGAAGACCAAGGGUUCCUGUCCAACGUUAAUCGGGGCAGGGUGAGUCGACCCCUAAGGCGAGGCCGAAAGGCGUAGUCGAUGGGAAACAGGUUAAUAUUCCUGUACUUGGUGUUACUGCGAAGGGGGGACGGAGAAGGCUAUGUUGGCCGGGCGACGGUUGUCCCGGUUUAAGCGUGUAGGCUGGUUUUCCAGGCAAAUCCGGAAAAUCAAGGCUGAGGCGUGAUGACGAGGCACUACGGUGCUGAAGCAACAAAUGCCCUGCUUCCAGGAAAAGCCUCUAAGCAUCAGGUAACAUCAAAUCGUACCCCAAACCGACACAGGUGGUCAGGUAGAGAAUACCAAGGCGCUUGAGAGAACUCGGGUGAAGGAACUAGGCAAAAUGGUGCCGUAACUUCGGGAGAAGGCACGCUGAUAUGUAGGUGAAGUCCCUCGCGGAUGGAGCUGAAAUCAGUCGAAGAUACCAGCUGGCUGCAACUGUUUAUUAAAAACACAGCACUGUGCAAACACGAAAGUGGACGUAUACGGUGUGACGCCUGCCCGGUGCCGGAAGGUUAAUUGAUGGGGUUAGCGCAAGCGAAGCUCUUGAUCGAAGCCCCGGUAAACGGCGGCCGUAACUAUAACGGUCCUAAGGUAGCGAAAUUCCUUGUCGGGUAAGUUCCGACCUGCACGAAUGGCGUAAUGAUGGCCAGGCUGUCUCCACCCGAGACUCAGUGAAAUUGAACUCGCUGUGAAGAUGCAGUGUACCCGCGGCAAGACGGAAAGACCCCGUGAACCUUUACUAUAGCUUGACACUGAACAUUGAGCCUUGAUGUGUAGGAUAGGUGGGAGGCUUUGAAGUGUGGACGCCAGUCUGCAUGGAGCCGACCUUGAAAUACCACCCUUUAAUGUUUGAUGUUCUAACGUUGACCCGUGAUCCGGGUUGCGGACAGUGUCUGGUGGGUAGUUUGACUGGGGCGGUCUCCUCCUAAAGAGUAACGGAGGAGCACGAAGGUUGGCUAAUCCUGGUCGGACAUCAGGAGGUUAGUGCAAUGGCAUAAGCCAGCUUGACUGCGAGCGUGACGGCGCGAGCAGGUGCGAAAGCAGGUCAUAGUGAUCCGGUGGUUCUGAAUGGAAGGGCCAUCGCUCAACGGAUAAAAGGUACUCCGGGGAUAACAGGCUGAUACCGCCCAAGAGUUCAUAUCGACGGCGGUGUUUGGCACCUCGAUGUCGGCUCAUCACAUCCUGGGGCUGAAGUAGGUCCCAAGGGUAUGGCUGUUCGCCAUUUAAAGUGGUACGCGAGCUGGGUUUAGAACGUCGUGAGACAGUUCGGUCCCUAUCUGCCGUGAGCGCUGGAGAACUGAGGGGGGCUGCUCCUAGUACGAGAGGACCGGAGUGGACGCAUCACUGGUGUUCGGGUUGUCAUGCCAAUGGCACUGCCCGGUAGCUAAAUGCGGAAGAGAUAAGUGCUGAAAGCAUCUAAGCACGAAACUUGCCCCGAGAUGAGUUCUCCCUGACUCCUUGAGAGUCCUGAAGGAACGUUGAAGACGACGACGUUGAUAGGCCGGGUGUGUAAGCGCAGCGAUGCGUUGAGCUAACCGGUACUAAUGAACCGUGAGGCUUAACCUUACAACGCCGAAGGUGUUU